rnacentral:rRNA from 1 species
GACGAACGCUGGCGGCGUGCUUAACACAUGCAAGUCGAACGGAAAGGCCCUGCUUUUGUGGGGUGCUCGAGUGGCGAACGGGUGAGUAACACGUGAGUAACCUGCCCUUGACUUUGGGAUAACUUCAGGAAACUGGGGCUAAUACCGGAUAGGAGCUCCUGCUGCAUGGUGGGGGUUGGAAAGUUUCGGCGGUUGGGGAUGGACUCGCGGCUUAUCAGCUUGUUGGUGGGGUAGUGGCUUACCAAGGCUUUGACGGGUAGCCGGCCUGAGAGGGUGACCGGCCACAUGGGGACUGAGAUACGGCCCAGACUCCUACGGGAGGCAGCAGUGGGGAAUAUGGCACAAGGGGCGGAAGCCUGAUGCAGCAACGCCGGGUGCGGGAUGACGGCCUUCGGGUGGUAAACCGCUUUCGCCUGUGACGAAGCGUGAGUGACGGUAAUGGGUAAAGAAGCACCGGCUAACUACGU